CAAGGGAAUCUACCCUGAAAGGAAUCCCAGGCUAGCAGUUUCAGACUGAGUGAGGGACCCUCAGGGGAAUGACAAUCCUAGUUGAGUGAGACUAAGCAUAUGGUAAGGACCCUCUUUGUUUAGGUAGUCUCCCCUAUUAUACCCUAGCCUCUAACUAUGAUUCCUUUCCCAAGCUUGAUUGUAUCCUGUCUGUGUAGUAUGUAUGUUCCCAUUUUCUUUGUAGCUAUAGCAUUGUCAAUCAUUUUUCCUUGCCCCUGAUUUUCCCCUAAACGGUAUAUAGGAUCCCCCAAUUCUUUUGUUCCCUGGAGUGGUCAUCUAGUGUGGUGGCACUCCCAGGGGUCAGUGUCCAGAGCGGCCAGAGUUCAAUCCUCAGACUCUGUGCAGUCAUGUGUGGCACCCAGCUCUGUUGUCAAGGCCUACUAGCACUGAACCCCUUUUUGCCCUUGAUUAAAGAGUGAUUUUGGCUAUUUAAUAGUUCUGUUUUUUCCCAGUUGAUAUUUUGGAGGUCCCACCGAGAUCCGAAGUCCCGGCUGCCUGAGCCUCCCUGCUAACGAGGACCCUAAAACUUGAGGUACCCACACAACCCAUUUGGGGUUUGGGGUUCAGUCAGGAGUCUGGCUAGCAGAGGGGCCAGGUAAGUGGCUCUCCAAGGAAGGACUCAUGUAUUGGGGAGUGACUCACUCUAAUUAAGAGAUUGUUAAGCGGGCAUCUGUGGGGUACACAGAGAGCCCCAUAGUCCAGAGCUACCCGGGUGCUGAUGGACAUGGGAAACAGCAUGUCUGUGAUCCCACAAAUUGAGGUGGGGGCAGCCGGCAGCCUGAGGAACCACCUAAUGAUUCGGCCCUUUUGAAGAUUUGAGAAGAUGAGAAGAUGGCAGAGUCUGGCCCAAACACAUAUUGGACAACGUGGAGUCUGGUUCAACCUGGCUACAAUCUCCGAGCUUCAUUAGAUUUUGGGGGGCUGCGUUGGUGCCUGUGUGAGUGCAGCAGGUCUGUGCUAGAGGUGGGGGCAGGAGAGCAUUUCAGAGACGUGAAUGGUUGGCCAAAAGCUUUGAAUGGGAAGCUGGAGCUGGAAUGUGGGAGCCUGAGUGUUCAAUUGAAGUUCUGGGUAACCGCUUUAAGUUGAUUAAAAUAGAGAAAGCUUCUUCAUGAAUUGAAAUGCUAAGGCUUAAGGUAUAAAAGGUCAUAAAUUUUUCUUAUGAAAGAGCUUCUCAUAGAAGCUUAAAGAACUAAAGUUCUGGGUUUCUCAAUGUUCUGGGGGCUUUUGCCUAUAUUGUAUGUCUAAUGUAUUUUUUAGGUGAAGACUUCGCCAAUAAUUUCAAAUGCUUGUGAUUUAAAUGUUAGCAAAUAACGUCUGAAAGUUGAGUUAACAAUUAAUUCCCCCCAAAAGUUGAAGAGGCGAGACUGGAGCUGGUGAUGUGGAUAUGGGACUAUCCAGCAGGAGACAAAAGGAGGUCCAGAAAUUCUUAAACUUUAAUUUUUUCUUCCCAAAGUUUUGGUAUUGUUAAUGUGUGAAAUAUUUUGUACCAAGUGCAGUUAAUAUUGGUAAUAAGAGGGGGCAGCUGGGUAGCUCAGUGGAUUGAGAGCCAGGCCUAAAGAUAGGAGGUCCUGGGUUUAAAUUUGGCCUCAAACACUUCCCAGCUGUGUGACCCUGGGCAAGUCACUUGACCCCCAUUGCCUAGCUUUUACCACUCUUCUGCCUGGUUCCAAGAUGGAAGAUGGUUCUUAGGAGCCAGAAGCCUGGAUAAGAUUUUCCUGCAGCCUAGAUUCUGAAGAAUUCGUGAAGAAGGCAUCUCUUAUGAGAAAUCUAAAGGAUUCCCCCAAGAUACUGAAUCCAGCUGAAGUCUGGCACAAAAGGACAAGUCUUCAGGAGGACAGAAGUCUGCCAGGAGAGGAGGCUAGCUGAAGGCAUCAUAUCAGGACCCACCAGAUUAAAGACUUAAGACUUUGGGGAAAUGCAGUAGUGUUUUGAUUUUUAGUUUUUGCCAAAGGCAGACUGCCUGCCUUUCUGGCUCAAAUGUUAAUGCGCUUGCUGCAUUGGGGAAUGCCCCCAAAUGCCAACUGCCUGUACCUGUACCCCAAGGCUUUCCCAACAUUAGUGAUGAAAGUCCAACCCCAUGUAGCAUUUCCCAUUUGUCCAUUUAUUUGGUCAGUGAUAGCCAGUCUUGACCAAACGGGGGGAGAGGGGGGAAAUUCAACAUGGAAUCUAGGAAUCCCAAACUUGUGGCCUAGUGGGAUCUGAUGAACCCCAAGUUUCAGGUCUAGCUUAUAGGUUGGAGACACCAAAACUUGUCCUUGUUCCCUGUUCCCAAGGGAAUCUACCCUGAAGGGAAUCCCAGGCUAGCAGUUUCAGACUGAGUGGGGGACCCUCAGGGGAAUGACAAUCUUAGUUGGGUGAGACUAAGCAUAUGCUUAGGAUCCUCUUUGUUUUAGGUAGUCUCCCCUAUUAUAUCAGAGACCCUUUCUCAAGAACAUCCACACCUGGGCAGGAACCAUCCUUAGUAUGCAUUGUAAGCAGCCCCUUCUCUUACUAUGAUUCCUUUCCUCUUAACUAUGAUUCCUUUCCCAAGCUUGAUUGUAUCCUGUCAUUGUAGUUUGAAUGCUCCCACUUUCUUUGUAGCUAUAGUGAUGUCAACCAUCUUUCCUUGCCCCUGAUUUUCCCCCAAAUGGUAUAUAGGAUCCCCCAAUUCUUCCCUGGAGUGGUCAUCUAGUGUGGUGGCACUCCUAGGGGUGUGUGGCACACAGCUCUGUUGUCGAGGCCUACUAGCGCUGAACCCCUUUUUGCCCUUGGUUAAAGAGUGAUUUUGACUAAUAGUUCUGUGUUUUUUCCCAGUUGACAACAUCCAGAGAAGGAACUGUGGGAGUAGAAACACAGAAGGAAAACAACUGCUUGAUCACAUGCGUUGAUGGGGAUAUGAUUGGGGAUGUAGACCUUAAAAGAUCACCCUAAUGCAAAUGUUAAUAAUACGGAAAUAGGUCUUGAUCAAUGACACAUGUUAAACCCAGUGGAAUUGUGCAUCAGAUACAGGAAGGGGGUGGGGACAGGGGAGGGAAAGAACAUGAGUCUUGUAACCAUGGGAAAAUAUUCUAA